UGAGACUAUGCCAACUGUUACGCUCGAAUGAGUUUAAAAUUGCUUUGAGUAAGUUGUCUCCCAACUCUCUGGUUUUCCUAUCUUCCUCUUCAAGGGCACAGCCAUAGGCAGGUUUUUCCUGCACCUGAAUCCUGUAGAAGAGGAAACAAACAGCCAAAGACUCAAUCCAGAGAACAGGACACCAAUGAGGAUACCAAUGAGGCCACCAUCACUCCAGAGUAAGGAAGGUGAGAUUUGGGAAGACUGCUCCAAAAUCUGCUCUCCCUCCAGCCUGCUUGGGCCA
rnacentral:lncRNA from 1 species